rnacentral:rRNA from 1 species
UGGCGGCAGGCCUAACACAUGCAAGUCGAGCGGAUGAAGGGAGCUUGCUCCUGGAUUCAGCGGCGGACGGGUGAGUAAUGCCUAGGAAUCUGCCUGGUAGUGGGGGAUAACGUCCGGAAACGGGCGCUAAUACCGCAUACGUCCUGAGGGAGAAAGUGGGGGAUCUUCGGACCUCACGCUAUCAGAUGAGCCUAGGUCGGAUUAGCUAGUUGGUGGGGUAAAGGCCUACCAAGGCGACGAUCCGUAACUGGUCUGAGAGGAUGAUCAGUCACACUGGAACUGAGACACGGUCCAGACUCCUACGGGAGGCAGCAGUGGGGAAUAUUGGACAAUGGGCGAAAGCCUGAUCCAGCCAUGCCGCGUGUGUGAAGAAGGUCUUCGGAUUGUAAAGCACUUUAAGUUGGGAGGAAGGGCAGUAAGUUAAUACCUUGCUGUUUUGACGUUACCAACAGAAUAAGCACCGGCUAACUUCGUGCCAGCAGCCGCGGUAAUACGAAGGGUGCAAGCGUUAAUCGGAAUUACUGGGCGUAAAGCGCGCGUAGGUGGUUCAGCAAGUUGGAUGUGAAAUCCCCGGGCUCAACCUGGGAACUGCAUCCAAAACUACUGAGCUAGAGUACGGUAGAGGGUGGUGGAAUUUCCUGUGUAGCGGUGAAAUGCGUAGAUAUAGGAAGGAACACCAGUGGCGAAGGCGACCACCUGGACUGAUACUGACACUGAGGUGCGAAAGCGUGGGGAGCAAACAGGAUUAGAUACCCUGGUAGUCCACGCCGUAAACGAUGUCGACUAGCCGUUGGGAUCCUUGAGAUCUUAGUGGCGCAGCUAACGCGAUAAGUCGACCGCCUGGGGAGUACGGCCGCAAGGUUAAAACUCAAAGGAAUUGACGGU